GGCUCAGAACGAACGCUGGCGGCGCGUUUUAAGCAUGCAAGUCGAACGGCAACAGUGUAGCAAUACACUGCGAGAGUGGCGAACGGGUGAGUAACACGUAGGUGAUCUACCCUUGGAUGGGGGAUAGCUCAUGGAAACAUGGGGUAAUACCGCAUAAGGUCCAGAGAUCUUGGUUUUUGGAUGAAAAGUGCAAUUGCACUGUCUGGGGAUGAGCCUGCGGUUCAUUAGCUAGUUGGUAGGGUAAUGGCCUACCAAGGCUACGAUGGAUAGCCGGCCUGAGAGGGUGUACGGCCACACUGGGACUGAGAUACGGCCCAGACUCCUACGGGAGGCAGCAGCUAAGAAUCUUCCGCAAUGGGCGAAAGCCUGACGGAGCGACGCCGCGUGUAUGAUGAAGGCGGAAACGUUGUAAAGUACUUUUCUUGGGGAAGAAUAAGUGUGGGAGUGGAAAGCCCACAUGAUGACAUUAACCGAGGAAUAAGCCCCGGCCAAUUACGUGCCAGCAGCCGCGGUAAUACGUAUGGGGCGAGCGUUGUUCGGAGUCAUUGGGUGUAAAGGGCGUGUAGGCGGUUUUGUAAGCCCGGUGUUAAAGGUAUUGGCUUAACCAAUAUUUGGCGCUGGGUACUGUAAGACUAGAGUCCUGGAGAGGAAGCUGGAAUUCCUGGUGUAGGGGUGAAAUCUGUAGAUAUCAGGAAGAACACCGAUGGCGGAGGCAAGCUUCUAGCCAUGGACUGACGCUGAGGCGCGAAAGCGUGGGGAGCAAACAGGAUUAGAUACCCUGGUAGUCCACGCUGUAAACGAUGUGCACUAGGUGUGGGAGGUGUUAAACUUUCCGCGCCGUAGCUAACGCGAUAAGUGCACCGCCUGGGGAGUAUGCUCGCAAGGGUGAAACUC
rnacentral:rRNA from 1 species